UACGAAGGGGGCGAGCGUUGUUCGGAAUUACUGGGCGUAAAGGGCUCGUAGGCGGCCAACUAAGUCGAACGUGAAAUCCCCAGGCUCAACCUGGGAACUGCGUCCGAUACUGGAUGGCUUGAAUCCGGGAGAGGGAUGCAGAAUUCCAGGUGUAGCGGUGAAAUGCGUAGAUAUCUGGAGGAAUACCGGUGGCGAAGGCGGCAUCCUGGACCGGCAUUGACGCUGAGGAGCGAAAGCCAGGGGAGCAAACGGG
rnacentral:rRNA from 1 species